rnacentral:rRNA from 1 species
AUUGAACGCUGGCGGCAGGCCUAACACAUGCAAGUCGAGCGGAUGAAGGGAGCUUGCUCCUGGAUUCAGCGGCGGACGGGUGAGUAAUGCCUAGGAAUCUGCCUGGUAGUGGGGGAUAACGUCCGGAAACGGGCGCUAAUACCGCAUACGUCCUGAGGGAGAAAGUGGGGGAUCUUCGGACCUCACGCUAUCAGAUGAGCCUAGGUCGGAUUAGCUAGUUGGUGGGGUAAAGGCCUACCAAGGCGACGAUCCGUAACUGGUCUGAGAGGAUGAUCAGUCACACUGGGGCUGAGACACGGUCCAGACUCCUACGGGAGGCAGCAGUGGGGAAUAUUGGACAAUGGGCGAAAGCCUGAUCCAGCCAUGCCGCGUGUGUGAAGAAGGUCUUCGGAUUGUAAAGCACUUUAAGUUGGGAGGAAGGGCAGUAAGUUAAUACCUUGCUGUUUUGACGUUACCAACAGAAUAAGCACCGGCUAACUUCGUG